UACGUAGGGUGCAAGCGUUGUCCGGAAUUACUGGGCGUAAAGAGCUCGUAGGUGGUUUGUCGCGUUGUUCGUGAAAACCGGGGGCUUAACCCUCGGCGUGCGGGCGAUACGGGCAGACUUGAGUACUGCAGGGGAGACUGGAAUUCCUGGUGUAGCGGUGAAAUGCGCAGAUAUCAGGAGGAACACCGGUGGCGAAGGCGGGUCUCUGGGCCGAUACUGACGCUGAGGAGCGAAAGCGUGGGGAGCGAACAGG
rnacentral:rRNA from 1 species